rnacentral:rRNA from 1 species
CCUACGGGAGGCUGCAGUGGGGAACAUUGGACAAUGGGGGGAACCCUGAUCCAGCCAUGCCGCGUGUGUGAAGAAGGCCCUCGGGUUGUAAAGCACUUUCAGUGAGGAAGAACGCCUGGUGGUUAAUACCCAUCAGGAAAGACAUCACUCACAGAAGAAGCACCGGCUAACUCCGUGCCAGCAGCCGCGGUAAUACGGAGGGUGCGAGCGUUAAUCGGAAUUACUGGGCGUAAAGCGCGCGUAGGUGGCUUGAUAAGCCGGUUGUGAAAGCCCCGGGCUCAACCUGGGAACGGCAUCCGGAACUGUCAAGCUAGAGUGCAGGAGAGGAAGGUAGAAUUCCCGGUGUAGCGGUGAAAUGCGUAGAGAUCGGGAGGAAUACCAGUGGCGAAGGCGGCCUUCUGGACUGACACUGACACUGAGGUGCGAAAGCGUGGGUAGCAAACAGGAUUAGAUACCCCUGUAGUC